GAGGGAAUGAGGAGUGACUGGUUGACACAGAGUUUCUUUUCAGGGUGAUGAAAAUGUUCUAAAGUUGAGUGUGAUGCUGGUUGUACAACUUGUGAAUAUACUAAAAAAAAAAAACCAUGGAAUUAUGUAUGCUUUAGGUAAACAAAUUGUAUGGUAUAUGAAUUUUAUCUCAAUAAAACUGUUAUAAAUCUAAAGUUACUGAAAUAGAAAGUAGCAUUUGGUAGCUGGCAUACAGAUGCAUAACCAAAUACUAUGAAAAUUCAGAGUAAAGGCAACUUUCCAGGCUGCUGCAAUUAGAAAGCUUUUGAUAGAAAUAGGACAAGACAUAUGGAAUUGGAGGAAAGGAAAAGAAGGUAUUUCUUGAGAAAGAAUGACAAAAACAAGAAGGAAAUGACAGCCUGUGUCUGGGAAGUGGUGAAAUGUCUGGUUUGGCCCAUGUGCUUUGUGCCAGUGGUUACAAUAGCCAGGUGUUGCCACACUUUGGAGAAUAAUGAAAGUAUUUAAAAUUGUGACUUUGCCCCCCAAAUCUAGAGUGUGCUGUUAUGAUAUGGUGUAAAGGAAGAGUGUAGCUUGAAAUGACAAAUUGGUCUAGAGCAUGGUGAGAGAGGUAUGAAUACAUGUGAGGAGACCAUCUCUGAUUCUUUUCUUUCUGGAAGCUCUCUAUCCCAUUUCUUUAUUAGUUCAUGUAGAUAUACAUGAAAAGAUUGCCAGGCUUGGGGCAGUCUGUGGAAAGUGGCACCUGUAGAAAGAACCUUAUAUCUGAGUACAAUGUAUUCUUCCUGGUUUCUUGUUACUGUUUCUUGGUAGAUUCAGGAUGUUCCUCUUCUGUGUCAGGGGGGUAGUCAAAUGUAUGUCAAGCUUCAAGCCCUAUAGCAUGAGUUAGAGAAGUGAUAUAAACUGAUCACAAUUAUUUCACUCAUUUAUGUUCCCUUUCCUAGUUAUUUUACUGAGCAUGCCAUGUAAAAACUAAUCUAUGUUAGAUGUUGUAGGAGCUUAAAAAAAGACAUCACUCAACAGCUCAUGUUAAUGGAUGUAGUUCUGUUUAUUUUGAAACUUAUUAAAUGUUUUCUUCACUCAGCCACUAAAAGUGAUUGGAGGAACUGAGAGGUUCUGAAGAUCCAAACUAACUGCUUUGUAUAUGGUCAGGUGGGGUGAAGGAUUCAGGGUGAGGCUGUUCCUGGUCCCCACGCCCAGCAGGAGGCCUCCUGUUCCAGUCUUUUUGGCUUUGUUUAUCAAGUCUACUUACAAGGAGAAGUGUUCUUCAGACUCUGGUCUAGAGUCCACCUGGGCUAUGCAGUGAGUGUAAGGAUGAGGCAGCCCAAUUCAGCCCCAGACCCAGUAAUCCAUAUGCUGUGUGGGAAAUGCACCCUAAUAAAAAGAUGCCCACUAUAGAAUUUGGGCUUACAGGUUAAUAGAGAUAAAAAUCAUACUUACCCUUAAGAAGAUAGAGACUAAAUUUCAUUUCCUCUCCUUCCUGUACCUUCACUCUCUAUACAUUAUGGAUAUAAGUUCUAUUUCCUUAUUUUUCCAUUUAUAAUGUAUUUAUCAUAAUGUAAAUAUAAAAGGUCACUAUAGAAAAUUCAGAAAUAUGUAAUGAAAACUACUAAAAUCACACAUAAUCUCACCAUCCAGAAGUAACCAGUGCAAACCUUUUGGCAUAUUUCUUUCCUUUUUCUAGAUGCACAUAUUUUUUUCCCACAAGGUUGAAAUCAUACAUACAUGUAAACAUAUAUUGUUUUGUAUUUUUAUUUCUCACUAAAAAUUGUAUAGUGAGCAUUUUCUGUGCCAUUUAAUUCUUUUACAAAAAUGUGAUUUAUUUUUUUUUAAUGGGCACAGAAUGAUUCCCCAGUAUUGGACAUUAUGCUGUUCUUUGGGUUUCUCUUUCACCAUAAUGCCUUGCAAACACUUCCUUUUUUAGCCAACAAAUGCAGCUAUUAGAAAUACUAAGUCUCAUGGAGAUCUUUACUGACCUUUUGCUGCAACAACUUGGUGGUAACAGUGUCACCAAGACUUCUCCCUGGGGACUACCACACAACUGUUCUUCCAAAGACAUGCUGACUCCUCCUUACUUUCUUCGUACCUGGUUGAUCAGAGGGACCAGCCACGAUAAAGCUACAGAGUGCACAUUCUCCAGGACCUAAUAAGACUCUAGAAUAGAGUCUUAUUACAUACAAUAUUACUUAUUGUAAUAUUCCACAAACUACAUGCUUCAUCAGUGGAUGGGCUCUUCUCUUGCUGGAUGCUCUGGGUAGUAGGACUUCCCACAGUGUGUGGUGAAGUUGCAGAGCUUUGUCAGGACAGAAUUUAGGUGACAUGCAGAUUUCAGCUAACCUGAAAGAAUGUCUUUCUUUUUGGUGAUUGUUGACAAACUGCUGCUUGUUCAUGAUGCAGAUUUUGAAAUGCCCAGGUGCAGUUUGAUAGGGUUGAUGAUGGCAACGUGGCAAGGUGCAUCUCUAAGGGCUGGUUCCUCACGCCCAGUGUGACCUGGCCUGACCUGGCAAAGAGGGACAUGAGCAACCACAGUACCGUGGAAGUCCUGGAGGAACAGAUGAAUGGCUUCUGCACGGUACUAUCUGUCCUGAAAUACCUUGUCAAGUUAAAUGAGAAAUAUGUCUGCUGCUAACAGAGACAAAUAUGAACAACCAGCCCUUCAGAAUCAUCCACAAAUA